rnacentral:lncRNA from 1 species
UGACUGAGUAAAUAUAUUUCUAAACAUUUUUUCCUCUCAUUCAAGGGCGGUCUCACGAAAUCAGCACAGCCUUGUUUCUUUAAAAAGUGCUAAUUCUAUGCUGGAUCCAACUGAUUUGAAAAGAGAAUCUCUCUAUUCAGUGCAAAGUGCACAAAUACCAGUUUCUUUCAUUAUUGACGACAGUAUUGAUGCCACUGAGCAACGGUCUCACAAGAGCAAUAUUACUGAUUUAAGAGUCAAUUCCAAAUCAGCCAUGGUGUGCCAACAAGAAUAUAAAUCAAGACUGAAAGUAAAAUUUCAGUACAUUCACAUCAUGAUAUCCCAUUAUCAGGAUAUCAAGUUUGUGUAUCCGCUACCAUUCCGAGAGCUGAACCUGAUGAAAGGGAAACAGUUCAGCUUGAUU